AAAUAAAUGCUAGCCCGGCCCGUCUGAAAUUUCCGACCUGACCCGACACAAAGUACCUGACCCGAAAUCAUUUGGAACGGAAGGGGAAAUUUUCAUUUUAUUUUCGCUUUUCUUCAGAAUGGGUCGGGUAUUACCCGAUAACCGAAAAUGAUUUGAAAUCAUGCCCCUUUUUUACCAUUUUGUUGAAUACUAAAGUUGGAGAAGUUUCAAACCAAGUCGCGAAUUCUGAAGCAACUCAGUUAUAGAGCUAUUCUGCCUAAAGAUGCUGGGGGAGGAACCAGAGUCAAAGAGGCCAGGAUCGGCGGAGGAAGAAUCAAUGGUGGUGGAGUCUUCUCUAGCAGUGGGAGUGGGAGUGCAAGAGUUGGAACCUGUAAGUAACUGAGUUAAACUCUGGUUGGGCAUUAAGGGGUCUUCCUCGUCGUUCUUCAGAAGUGCCUCUAACUAGCUAGCAAGAGCAAAACGGAAGUGGGCGAGUCCUCCAUGACUCGAUUCACCAUCAUAAAUCUGGGUUGAGAAGGGUUUGCAAUUUUUUUCUGGCUUCAACGGAGCUUCUAAAUUAAAGAAAUCAAACUAAGAUGGAGCACUGUCUUGGUGGAGCUAUUCUGGCUAUUCAGGAGUGCAUAAAACUGAGUGACUCCCCUGGAUUAUCAUCAAGUGACAACGGGCUCGAGUAAGAUGCUAAUGCUCCCAAGUUGACGUCAUUGACUAACUACUAGUAGAGGAUGCUUGGCCACAAAUUGGGCAUCGCUUGUUAUGAAGUUUUACACGGUCGUUACCCGUGGUGUGAUGAAGGGAGCUAGAGUGUGUGGAUGGUCCAUAUAGGAGACCUUUAUGCAUACCUAAAUAAAAUGAUCAUUUUCAAGGGAGAACAAUUUUUUUGGGUGUGUGAUGACUUGUGUGAAAAUUUUGGUGAAUGACUUGAGUUUGGUUAAUUGGAAAAUGUCAAAACCAUAUUUCCCUACAUAUUGUUUUAUUUGCAUAAUUUUCUUUUCCACUUGCUUGCAUUUCUUAGUUUUGCUUAUUGAGAUUUUGCAAAAUCUCAUAGUAGUGGUCCCACCUGCCACCCCUUUCCUUGAAAUUAUAGAUUUUGAUGUAGAUGAUGGGUAGGAAGAUGGGUACGAGCAUGGAGAUUUGGUUCUGCCAGAAGAAUGAAGAUUGGGGUUGUUCUCCCUAUAUAAUUAAGUAGUGUUUGACUCUUUGUAAAAAAAUUGGAUGAUUGUAAUAUUCAGUUGCUUAUGAGUUGAGACAAGUGACUUAUGGAUAAUUUGUAGUUUUGUAAAUUAAAUAUAUUCUCGUACUGCUAUUUAGAUUUAA